AUACGGAGGACGCGAGCGUUAUCCGGAUUCAUUGGGUUUAAAGGGUGCGCAGGCGGCCGUGCAAGUCAGCGGUGAAAGCCCGGGGCUCAACCCCGGAAGUGUCGUUGAUACUGCAUGGCUGGAAUGCGGUCGAGGCGGGCGGAACGUGGGGUGUAGCGGGGAAAUGCGUAGAUAUGCCACAGAACGCCGAUAGCGGAGGCAGCUCGCCAGGCCUGCAUUGACGCUCGGGCACGAAAGUGUGGGGAUCGAACAGGAUUAGAUACCCUGGUAGUCCACGCCGUAAACGAUGGGCGCUCGUCGUCGGCGGCAGACAGUCGGCGGCCAAGCGAAAGCGAUAAGCGCCCCACCUGGGGAGUACGGUCGCAAGGCUGAAACUCAAAUGAAUUGACGGGG
rnacentral:rRNA from 1 species